rnacentral:tRNA from 1 species
GUCCAGGGAUGGGAAUCGAACCCACAAUGUUCCGAUUACCGGGCAGAUGCCAUGUCCACUAAGCUACCCUGGA